UACAGAGGGGGCGAGCGUUAUUCGGAAUUAUUGGGCGUAAAGGGCGCGUAGGUGGCUUGACAAGUCAACGGUGAAAUCCCUCGGCUCAACCGAGGAAUGGCCUUUGAAACUGUCGAGCUAGAGGCCGGGAGAGGGUAGUGGAAUUCCCAGUGUAGCGGUGAAAUGCGUAGAUAUUGGGAGGAACACCAGUGGCGAAGGCGGCUACCUGGACCGGUUCUGACGCUGAGGCGCGAAAGCGUGGGGAGCAAAC
rnacentral:rRNA from 1 species